rnacentral:tRNA from 1 species
GGGCGUGUAGCUCAGCGGUAGAGCGCUGCCCUUACAAGGCAGAUGUCGGCGGUUCGAAACCGUCCACGCCCACCA